ensembl:lncRNA ZEB2-AS1 ZEB2 antisense RNA 1
AUGAAAUAAAGAAAUGAAACUCGCUAAGCAGACAAAAACAGACAACUUUCUGCUUAGAAAACAGCCUUCUCGGUGGGAGAGGAUGAACUGCCAUGUCUAAGAGAAAGACUUGCCCCCGAAUUUGUAGUUUUGGCCAGAAAUGGUGAGAAGAAAAAGCAUGAAGAAGCCGCGAAGUGUGGGGGAGAAAAAGGUGGAAGCGAAGAAACAGCUCCCGGAGCAAACUGUACAAAAACCUCGCCAAGAGUGUCGGGAGGCAGGACCGUUAUUCCUGCAGAGCAGGAGAGAGACGAGAGACCCUGAAACACGCGCCACCUAUCUUUGUGGGGAGGGAUAAUUGAAGCGCCCUGAGCGUGAGCAUCAUGUGAAAACGUGAUCGCCAAGUUUCUCUCUGGGAAAGGAUCUGGGAUAGAUUAUACCUUGAAGUCUCCGCAAACGCUUUAGUGGAA